CGAGUCGGAGUGGUACACGGCUCACGGUGCAGACGCGGAACUGGCGUGCGCUCGGAGCGGCGCCCGCGCCGAGGAGCGACUGACGCUCGGCUGCCGGGGGACGUCUGGCCGAACCCGGCCGGUCCCCCGAGGCUCGGGAGACUUGGAUUUUCAGAUUAUAUCAGAAUUCCUCCUGGGAACAUUGAUUCCAUGCUUGGUGCCUUGAAGUUUCUCUGAGAUGAACUGAUGAAUCGGAACCAUGGUGCAAAAGAAGAAGUCCUGUCCUCGGUUACUUGACUACCUAGUGAUCGUAGGGGCCAGGCACCCGAGCAGUGAUAGCGUGGCCCAGACUCCAGAACUGCUACGGCGAUACCCAUUAGAGGAUCACGCCGAGUUUCCCCUGCCCCCGGAUGUCGUGUUCUUCUGCCAGCCGGAGGGCUGCCUGAGUGUGCGACAACGGCGCAUGAGCCUGCGCGAGGACACCUCUUUUGUCUUCACUCUCACCGACAAGGACACCGGAGUCACGCGUUAUGGCAUCUGUGUUAACUUCUACCGCUCCUUCCAAAAGCGCGUGCCUAAGGAAAAGGGGGAGGCCGGGGCAGGGUCCCGUGGGAAGGAAGGACCCCACGCCACCUGCAUCUCAGAAGAGGUUGGCACCGAGAGCUUGGAGAGUGGCCCGUCCCUGCAGCCUCCCAGUGCCGACUCUACCCCGGAUGUGAACCAGUCUCCUCGGGGCAAACACCGGGCCAAGGCGGAGAGCCGUUCCCGCAACAGCACUCUGACAUCCCUGUGUGUGCUCAGCCAUUACCCCUUCUUCUCCACCUUCCGGGAGUGUCUGUACACCCUCAAACGCCUGGUGGACUGCUGUAGUGAGCGACUGCUGGGCAAGAAACUGGGCAUCCCUCGAGGCAUACAAAGGGACACCAUGUGGCGCAUCUUUACUGGGUCGUUGUUAGUGGAGGAGAAGUCAAGUGCCCUUCUGCACGACCUUCGAGAGAUUGAGGCCUGGAUCUAUCGAUUGCUGCGCUCCCCAGUACCCGUCUCAGGGCAGAAGCGAGUGGACAUUGAGGUCCUGCCCCAGGAGCUCCAGCAAGCUCUGACCUUUGCGCUUCCAGACCCCUCUCGAUUCACCCUAGUGGAUUUCCCACUGCACCUUCCCUUGGAACUUCUGGGUGUGGAUGCCUGUCUUCAGGUGCUAACCUGCAUCCUGUUAGAGCACAAGGUGGUGCUGCAGUCCCGAGACUACAACGCACUCUCCAUGUCUGUGAUGGCAUUUGUGGCAAUGAUUUAUCCCUUGGAGUAUAUGUUUCCUGUUAUUCCACUGCUGCCCACCUGCAUGGCGUCUGCAGAACAGCUGCUGUUGGCUCCGACGCCGUACAUCAUCGGCGUCCCUGCCAGCUUCUUCCUCUACAAACUGGACUUCAAAAUGCCUGACGACGUGUGGCUAGUGGAUCUGGACAGCAGUAGGGUGAUUGCCCCCACCAAUGCAGAAGUGCUACCUAUCCUUCCAGAACCAGAAUCACUAGAGUUGAAAAAACAUUUAAAACAGGCCCUCGCCAGCAUGAGUCUCAACACCCAGCCCAUCCUCAAUCUGGAGAAAUUCCACGAAGGCCAGGAGAUCCCUCUUCUCUUGGGAAGGCCUUCUAAUGACCUGCAGUCUACACCUUCCACUGAAUUCAACCCACUCAUCUAUGGCAACGACGUGGAUUCUGUGGAUGUCGCAACCAGAGUGGCCAUGGUCCGUUUCUUCAACUCCCCCAACGUGCUGCAGGGCUUUCAGAUGCACACGCGUACCCUGCGUCUCUUCCCCCGGCCCGUGGUGGCUUUCCAAGCUGGCUCCUUUCUAGCCUCACGUCCCCGGCAGACUCCUUUUGCUGAGAAACUGGCCAGGACUCAGGCUGUGGAGUACUUUGGAGAAUGGAUCCUCAACCCCACCAACUAUGCCUUUCAGCGGAUUCACAACAACACAUUCGAUCCAGCCCUGAUAGGCGACAAGCCGAAGUGGUACACCCACCAGCUGCAGCCUGUCCACUAUCGAGUGUAUGACAGCAGUUCCCACCUGGCCGAGGCGCUGAGCGUGCCGCCGGAGCACGACUCUGACACUGACCCUACUGAUGACAGCGGCAGUGAUAGUAUGGAUUAUGAUGACUCAAGCUCUUCUUACUCUUCCCUUGGUGACUUUGUCAGUGAGAUGAUGAAAUGUGACAUCAAUGGUGAUACUCCUAACGUGGAUCCUCUGACACACGCGGCACUGGGGGAUGCCAGUGAGGUAGCUAUUGAUGAGCUGCAGAGCCAGAAGGAAGCAGAGGAACCUGGCCCAGACAGCGAGAACUCUCAGGAAAACCCCCCUCUGCGUUCCAGCUCCAGCACCACCGCCAGCAGUAGCCCCAGCACCGUUAUCCAUGGAACCAGUUCUGAACCUGCCGACUCAACGGAGAUGGAUGAUAAGGCAGCGGUAGGCGUCUCCAGGUCCCUCCCCAGCGUGCCUCCCAGCAUUGGCAAAGCGAACGUGGACAGGCGUCAGACAGAAACUGGAGAGGGGUCAGUGCGCCGGCGAACCUAUGAUAAUCCAUACUUCGAGCCCCAGUAUGGCUUUCCCCCUGAGGAAGAUGAUGCUGAGCAGGGGGAAGGUUACACUCCCCGAUUCAGCCAACAUGUCAGUGGCAGUCGGGCUCAAAAGCUGCUGCGGCCCAACAGCUUGAAACUGGCAAGUGACUCAGAUGCAGAGUCAGACUCUCGAGCAAGCUCGCCCACCUCCACCGUCUCCAACAACAGCACUGAGGGCUUCGGGGGCAUCAUGUCUUUUGCCAGCAGUCUGUAUCGGAACCACAGUACGAGCUUCAGUCUUUCAAAUCUCACACUGCCUACCAAAGGAGCGCGAGAGAAAACCACGCCCUUCCCCAGUCUGAAAGUAUUUGGGCUAAAUACUCUAAUGGAGAUUGUUACUGAAGCCGGCCCCGGGAGUGGUGAAGGAAACAGGAGGGCCUUAGUGGACCAGAAGUCAUCGGUCAUUAAACACAGCCCAACAGUGAAAAGAGAGCCUCCGUCACCUCAGGGUCGAUCCAGCAAUUCUAGUGAGAACCAGCAGUUCCUGAAGGAGGUGGUGCACAGCGUGCUGGAUGGCCAGGGAGUUGGCUGGCUCAACACGAAGAAGGUGCGACGGCUGCUGGAGAGCGAGCAGCUUAGAGUCUUUGUCCUGAGCAAGCUGAGCCGCACGGUGCAGUCAGAGGACGAGGCCCAGCAGGACAUCAUCCCAGAUGUGGAGAUCGGUCGGAAGGUGUACAAGGGCAUGUUAGACCUGCUCAAGUGCACGGUCCUCAGUCUGGAGCAGUCCUACGCCCACGCAGGUCUGGGUGGCAUGGCCAGCAUCUUUGCGCUUCUGGAGAUCGCCCAGACCCACUACUAUAGUAAAGAACCAGACAAGCGGAAGAGAAGUCCAACAGAGAGCGUAAAUACACCAAUUGGCAAGGAUCCUGGCCUGGCUUGGCGGGGGGACCCAAAGGCCAUGGCACAGCUGAGAGUCCCCCAGCUGGGACCUCGGGCACCAAGUGCCUCAGGAAAGAGUCCCAAGGAACUGGACACCAGAAGUCUAAAGGAGGAGAACUUUGUAGCAUCUAUCGAAUUGUGGAACAAGCACCAGGAAGUGAAAAAGCAAAAAGCUUUGGAAACACAGAGGCCUGAAGUAAUCAAACCCACCUUUGACCUUGGUGAGACAGAGGAGAAGAAGUCCCAAGUCAGCGCAGACAGUGGUGUGAGCCUGACGUCUGGUCCCCAGAGGACUGAUCCAGAUUCUGUCCUUGGUGUGAGUCCAGCCGUUAUGAUCCGAAGCUCGAGUCAGGACUCCGAAGUUAGCACCGUGGUGAGUAAUAGCUCUGGAGAGACCCUUGGAGCGGACAGUGACCUGAGCAGCAAUGCAGGUGAUGGACCAGGCGGUGAGGGCAGCACCCACUUGGCAGGCUCUAGAGGCACGUUGUCUGAUAGUGAAAUUGAAACCAACUCUGCCACCAGUGCCAUCUUUGGUAAAGCCCACAGCUUGAAGCCAAGUGUAAAGGAGAAGCUGGUGGGCAGCCCAGUUCGCUUUUCUGAAGAUGUAAGCCAGCGAGUCUAUCUCUACGAGGGACUCCUAGGAAGGGACAAAGGAUCGAUGUGGGACCAGUUAGAGGAUGCCGCUAUGGAGACCUUUUCUAUAAGCAAAGAGCGUUCUACUUUAUGGGACCAAAUGCAGUUCUGGGAAGAUGCAUUCUUAGAUGCUGUGAUGUUGGAGAGAGAAGGGAUGGGUAUGGACCAGGGUCCCCAGGAAAUGAUAGACAGGUACCUGUCCCUAGGAGAACAUGACCGGAAGCGCCUAGAGGAUGAUGAAGAUCGUUUGCUGGCCACGCUCUUGCACAACCUCAUCUCCUACAUGCUGCUGAUGAAGGUAAAUAAGAAUGAUAUCCGGAAGAAGGUGAGGCGCCUGAUGGGAAAGUCGCAUAUUGGGCUUGUGUACAGCCAGCAAAUCAACGAAGUGCUUGACCAGCUGGCAAACCUGAAUGGACGAGAUCUCUCUAUCCGGUCCAGUGGCAGCCGGCACAUGAAGAAGCAGACAUUUGUGGUACAUGCGGGGACAGACACAAAUGGAGAUAUCUUUUUCAUGGAGGUGUGUGACGACUGCGUGGUGCUGCGUAGUAACAUCGGGACAGUGUACGAGCGCUGGUGGUAUGAGAAACUCAUCAACAUGACCUACUGUCCCAAGACCAAGGUGCUAUGCUUGUGGCGUAGAAACGGCUCUGAGACCCAGCUCAACAAAUUCUAUACUAAGAAGUGUCGGGAGCUGUACUACUGCGUGAAGGACAGCAUGGAGCGUGCUGCCGCCCGACAGCAGAGCAUCAAACCUGGGCCGGAGCUGGGUGGCGAGUUCCCUGUGCAGGACAUGAAGACUGGCGAGGGUGGCUUGCUGCAGGUCACCCUAGAAGGGAUCAAUCUCAAGUUCAUGCACAACCAGGUUUUCAUAGAGCUGAAUCACAUUAAAAAGUGCAAUACAGUUCGAGGCGUCUUUGUCCUGGAGGAAUUUGGUAAUUACACUAUUUUGCUCUUAGGUCUGGACUCACAUGGCAGUAACUCAAACCUCGGAGCUCCAGAGGAGGGACUAGAGACAGAGAAGAAGAGCCUCUGCAGAGAGGUCAGGAGAAGCAGGAGUGAUAGGGAGGAAGAGGGAGUCCUGACCUGAGAGAAGGGAGGAGAAGGGAAAGCUAGUCGGUCGGUGGCUGCCUGAGAGUGGCCCGAGGAGCAGUGGCUUAGACGCCGGGCUUAGAGAUGAGCGCUGGUAGUGAAGAGGCUCCUCGAAGCAGCGCCACCUUCCCUUGUUUGGCCAGCUGGUGGGGCAGAGCAGACGAGCCAUUCCCUAGCUCUGCUGUGUUCAUGUCGCCUGCCUCGGUCCCUCUAGCAGCCCAGUGCUCUGUCCAGCCACCCUGGGGCCACGCCAGGGUCCAUCGAGCCUCUGGGCUGCAGGAGGGCGUGCAGCGGUGCAGGCAGGCUCACUCUAGGGGGCAGGCGAGCCUAGUGGCCUCAGAGGCAGAGGGCAGUGGUAGCUGGAAGCCGGGAGCUAGGCUCCCCCCCCAGCCAAGCGCUGACUGAGUGGUGUCUGGGUUCUCACCCCGGGGCUUUGAGUUCCUGCUGUGUUUGUGCUUCAUUCUUUCGUGCCCCUCAUCGCUGCUAUGAAAACCUUCGUUCUCCAGCAGGUAAAGUGACCUCGCCGUGCUGCCUCUCCCCAGGCCCCUGCCUUGGGCCCUGCGGUGGGUGGGCAGGCUCCCUUCGCCCAAGCCAGCUGCUCGCAUCACCAACUUGUCUCCUCCCUUCUCUCCCCACCCUCUUCCUUCCCAACCUCGUCCACCCUCGCGCUGGCUCAUUGGUUCCGAGUUUUCUCCCGUGUGCUCCUUUCUCUCUCCUGCCAGAGAGACGUUUGGGGGAGUCUUCCAACUCAGGAGAAGGACCUGGGCUCAUUGCUCUACCUUUGAUGAGUUUAUUCCCUGUUAACCCUGGGGCCCCCUGAAUUCUACCUCCCAGGGUCAGAAGAAGGUGUGGCCAACUCUCACCCUACCUUUUCUGGCCCCCAGGGGAUGCCAUGCCCCUGCUCCCCGUCUCCAGGGGCCAUGAUGAUGGCUGAGGCUGGGGGACCUUACUCCUUCCUCUGGCCAAGCAGAACCCCUGCAUGGCUGGGGCCGGGGUGACUCUUAGGCUCGCAUUCCGGGCUGUGGACACGUGUGUAUUUUGCCUGACGCUCCCUGUCACCUCCCUCCCCGGGUGCUGUACUCACCUGUCUCUUCUGCUCGGUGUGUCUGCUCCAGAGCCCUCUGACGCUCUCCCUCACACAGGCAGGCCUGGGCCUCUCCUGCCAUCAGGGAAGGAAACUUCCGAGUCUGGUGGGUUUAGUAUCGUGCCAUUUCUUCAUCCAGCCUCAGGACCCUCAGUGCAGGGGCUGGGAGUACAGGGAACGUGUUUAACUUGACCAGAGCAUGGGGCUGGCGACAGGGGUGAGUUCUCGGGUGUCUCAGCAAGGUGAGGCACAGGCUAGAGGCAGUGCUUCCCUCCCAGCCAAAACCUGGGAAUGUCAGCUGUGGUCCUCGGGCCCUGGAUGGUAGCAGCGACCAGGCUGGUGAGAGACUAGCCUGCUCCUGUGCUGGGGCUCUCAAAGUCGGUAGAGUCGUGGCCAUGGAGCCAGGAGCCACUGCAGACCUCAGAUGUCAGGCUGAGGAGUCGGGACCAGUGUCCUCUCACCCGGCCGGGGCUGAGUGAGGCCCACAGGGGAAGGGGACCCUGGUGCCGGGCGCUGCCGCCUGGGGGAGUGUGGCGCUAUUGCUCUUAGUUUUGAACCUUCUGUUUUGUCUCUUGCCCGUCCGGUUUUAGUUCCUGAAAUUAAAGAAGUGGUGAGCCACAAGUACAAGACACCAAUGGCCCACGAGAUCUGCUACUCUGUGUUGUGUCUCUUCUCAUAUGUGGCUGCUGUCCGUAGCAGUGAGGAAGAUCUCAGAACCCCACCCCGGCCCGUCUCUAGCU